GUCUACGACCAUACCACCCUGAACACGCCAGAUCACUUCAAACCUCAGAAGCUAAGCAGGAUCAGGCCUGGUUAGUAGUACUUGAAUGGGAGACCACCUAGAAAUACCGGGUGCUAUAGGCU
rnacentral:rRNA from 1 species